rnacentral:rRNA from 2 species
GACCUCGAAUCAGGUAGGAAUACCCGCUGAACUUAAGCAUAUCAAUA